UUGUACCAAGAAACAGUGGAAAGCUUGUCUUGCAUACUGUUCAUAUUACACAGCAUGGUGAAGUAGAACAAGCUAAGCCAAUAACUGUGGUAAACUAUGUGUAUACCUGUCUGGAUACGCCCCUCUGCUGACUGCUCCUGUGGCUCCUCCCACAGACCCCUAUAUAAAGGCGAUUGCAGGCACUGCUCCUCCCUCAGUCUCCAAGAUGUUGUGGUCACUUCUGCUGCUAAUAAAAGCCUAUUGUUCGCCUCCCGUCUCCGAGAGUUAUUGAUGGUGCAUCAAUUUUAUUAGCAGCAUUUUAAAAUACGGAGAGCAUUUUACGACCCGAAGGAUUGGAUAUUGGCUCUCAAUCUCCGGAAGCCAGCAUCGCUUUUGAACUCUGGCUUGCAUGCUUCCAAUCGUACCUGGAAGAGAUUCAUGUGACCGAGCCUGCAACGUUGCACAAAAUUCUCCUCUCCAGGGUCAGGGACCUGAUCAGGGACCUGCUGACCUACCGAGGGGCACUGGACGCCCUCAAAAGAUAAUACCUGCAACCGGUGAACACCGUCUACGCAAGACAUCGCUUAGCGACACGGCGGCAGUGUGCCGGAGAGUCGGGUGCUGAGUUUGUCUGAGCCCUACAGACACUUGUGCGGGACUGACGGCAGAGCGGCCUGCAGAGCUGCUAGUAAGAGACGCCUUCGUUACGGGGAUCAGGUCAGUGUAAGUGCGCCAGCGGCUGCUGGAACAUGCCGAUCUCACCUUACAUUCGGCGAUCAAGCUGGACGACACGCUGGAGGCCGCACUGCACGAUGCUGAUGCUGUCCAGGCGCGCGAUCUCCUGCUGGCCCUGUGGACGCUGCAGACCCCGCAACCCACCGGCGAAUCAACCUCGGCUGCUGCCAGUCGUGAGUCUGUGAAGUCCCCGCUACCCGCCGGCGAAUCAGCCACAGCUGCUGCUAGUCGCAAGUCCAUGAAGUCCCCGCAACCCGGCAUAUCGACCACGGCUGCUGCCAGUCGCAAGUCUGUGCAGUGUUAUUUCUGCGGACUCAAAAAGCACCCCGGAAAACGCUGCCUGGCCUGAGAAGCUACCUGCUCCAGCUGCAGAAAGAAGGGCCACUUCGCCAAGGCCUGUAAGUCCAAACCAUGAACGGGGUCAAGCAGCGCCGAGUGCGAGGCAUGGGGGCGGCCAUCUUUGUCGGCGCCACCUCGCCCCGCCCCCGACCCACGGUUGCUUACCGGGCACCAAGAUGGCGAUGCAACUCUGGCCUCCGUGACCCUUGACCAAAGCGCUCCGCAUAAGCUCGCAAGGUCAAUGAUGGACAUCCUGGUGGAGGGGCACAGGACUCGCUGGCUAUUUGACACGGGCAGCACUGAGAAUUUUAUUCACCCGGACACAGUGCAAUGCUGCGGACUCGCAACGCGGCCGACCCCGGUAUAAAGGCGAUUGGAGGCACUGCUCCUCCCUCAGUCUCCAGGAUGCUGUGGUCACUUUUGCUGCUAGUAAAAGCCUAUCGUUCGCCUCCCGUCUCCGAGAGUUAUUGAUGGUGCUUCAAUAACAGAAUGCAGAAUAAAGCGAAACAGCAACAGACGAGUUCAUGUUGUCAGAAAGCCUUCAGGAGUAUCUGUCGGAAGGGCCUGAUCUUCAUCAACCUACAGAUGGAAGCUAAGUGAAUUUUGCUUAUUGUUAUUGAGAGCAACACAAUGGAGUUGGACAUUUAACGUCAGGGAAUGUGUAAAAAGUGCUAGCUUUCAAUCAGGAGGGCAAUCCAGAUUUUAAAGGCAGACCUUCUUGGCAGUUUCUCUGAAUUGAGGAACGAUUCAUUAAAGAAAGAUUCAUUUGAAAGGGCAAAUAAAAAUAGCACAGAUGCAAGCAGAGCGGCCAUUAUUUGAAUGGCCUUUCUUUUGGACUAUGUCAAUAUUUGGCUCAUCAGGCUUAAGCGAGAUCAGAUUUGGAUGAGGUAAAAUAUCUUGUAAGUUACCCUCUCUCUGUUCUUAUUUGUUCAUCUGUUAGGGCAUAGGGAGACUGGCUCCAGAAGAAGUGUUUUGUAGUGUGUGUGGAAUGUGGGAAGUCUGGGAGAGGUCCAGUCUCCUGGAUAAACACAUCUGCACCAGGAACAUGGAGUGAACAUAAUAAGGAACUGGAGCUCCAGUUUGAUUACCUUCAACCCAUACAGGAGAAUGAGGAGGUGAUAGGCAGGAGCUACAGGGAGGUAGUCACCCCUAGAUUGUAAGAUUCAGGUAACUUAGGUGACUCUCCGGAGAAGGAUGGGACGUGAAUAGCCAAUGCAGUGUACACCUGUGACUGGUCCCCUCAAUAAUAGGCAUACAACUUUAGAUACUAUUGAGAGGGAUGACAUACCAGCAGACUGAACCUCUGGCCCUGAGUCUGGUGCUGUGGCUCAGAAGAGCAGAAAGGUGAAAAGGACUACAGUGUUGAUAGGAGAUUUCCCCAGUCAGAGGAACAGAGAUGAGGUUCUGUGAGCGUGCUAGAGACACCUGGAUGGUAUGUUGCCUCCCUGGUGCCAGGAUCAGGGAUGUCUUGGAUCUAUCCAUGACAUUCUGAAGGGUGAGAGUGAGCAGCUAGAGGUUUUGGUGCAUAUUGGCACCAAUGACAUAGGCAGGCAAGAUGAGGAGGUCCUGAAGAGAUAUUUUAGGGAGCUAGGUAGAAAGCUGAGAAACAGGAUCUCUAGAGUAGUAGUCUCUGGAUGCUGCCCGUGUCAUAUGCCUGUAAGGAUAAGAAUAGGAUGAUUUGACAGGUGAAUGCAUGACUGCUGAACUGGUCAGGGGUUCAGAUUUAUGGAUCAAAGGAAUCUGUUCAGGAGAAGCUAUGACCUGUACAAAAAGGGCAGGUUACAUCCAAACCACAGUAGGUCUAAUAUCCCAGCAGGCAAGUUGGCCAGAGUUUUUUUGGGAGGGUUUAAACUAAUUUGGCAGGGGGAUGGGAACUGGUGUGAUAGUGUUGAAGAUAAGGUAGCUGGUUUAUGAACAGGGAUAAGGUGUAAUGAGGAGAGGAUGUUGUCAGGGCAAAAUUGCAGUCAGAAGGAUGAGCUGCACGUAAAAGAUAGACAAAAUCGAAAAGGGUGAAUACAGGACUGAAAGUGCGUGGUAUACAGAAUAAGGUAGAUGAACUCCAAGUCCGACCUGACUAGUGUUUUAUAAAGCUUCAGCAUUGUCUCCUUGUUUUUUUUUGUUCUAUUCCCCUUGAAAUAAAUGCCAACAUUGUAUUUGCCUUCUUUACCGCAGACUCAACCUGUAAAUUAACCUCCUGGGAGUCUUGCACAAAUUCAUUUGCAUAUUGGGAGAAGACAGGAGACUGAGACCGAGAAGAAAAUUGGAUCAGCCAUGAUGAAAUGGUGGAGCAAACUCAAUGGGCCAAAUGAACUAACUCUGCUUUUAGAUCUUAUGGUCUAAUGGAAUACAGUGGAAUGUGGUGGGUAUGACUUUAGGGUAAUUUGGUCCAAUAUUUCACAUUUUGGAGCCAACCAUUCCUUCAUUCAUUUCACCAAGGUCCAGACGGCCACUCAGUGUCGAAGGGACACAUCCAGACCAAGGGGCAAAGUCAAAAAGAAAUGUGGAACAUGCCCUCUUUGCAUUAUUACUCUCAGGGAGAAGCUACAGGAGCCUGAAGACCAAAACUCAACAUUAUAGAAACAGCUUCUUCCCCUCUGCCAUCUGAUUUAUAAACAGUCCACAAUCAUUACCUUGAUAUUCCUGUUUUUCACGAUUUAUUUUAUAUUGUAAUUUGUUAUGUCUUGCACUGUACUGUUGCCACAAAACAAAUUUUGUGACAUG